rnacentral:rRNA from 1 species
UACGAAGGGGGCUAGCGUUGCUCGGAAUCACUGGGCGUAAAGCGCACGUAGGCGGAUUGUUAAGUCAGGGGUGAAAUCCUGGAGCUCAACUCCAGAACUGCCUUUGAUACUGGAUGGCUUGAAUCCGGGAGAGGGAUGCAGAAUUCCAGGUGUAGCGGUGAAAUGCGUAGAUAUCUGGAGGAAUACCGGUGGCGGAGGCGGCAUCCUGGACCGGCAUUGACGCUGAGGAGCGAAAGCCAGGGGAGCAAACGGG